ACCUCAUAGCUGCGGCCAGACAGCCCAUUUCUAUGCCAGGCAACCACUGCAGAAGCACAGAGCACAGGGCCCUGCUUGAUUAGCACUUCUGCUGUUUCGAGAGUCCUGGAGUGUUUUGUUCAAGUCAUUUAAAGUUUCUCUGAAAUGGAAAUGCUGAUGGGAAACCAAGCAGCUGGGGCUUACUGAGGAGUCAGGGAGUCUGUUGCAGCAGAGCCCUGCAAAGCUGGCAGCUGCCAGAAGGAUUUGUUCCAUCCCUGAAUACCUGCACCGCUGCUUCCCCCCGUGCUGCUGUCAGCAGAGGAACAAACAGGUUCACACCUGCUGCAUAGCUGGCCUUGGAGGAAUGCAUGUGCAAAUUUGGCAGGUUAAAUGCUUGAAGGAAUUGCAGAGUCAGGCUCCUGGAAAAUGAGGGCACACACCAAAAAAUCAGCACCUCAGCACAGGAGCAGGUGAGAAGAUCAGGUGCAGAGAGGUAAGCCAGUGCAAAGCCUUUUAUCCCACUCUUCCUGCAGCUCAGGAAGGAUGCAGAGAUUGCAGAGGGGAGCAGUAUUGCUGUCCCUGCACAGCAGCACCUACCUGGCCACCAAUUUAUCCCCUGGGAUGGGUUCCCUGUGCAGCUCUGCCCAGGCUUUGAGAAAGCUGUUCCAGCACUCACAUCUGCUGGCUUGGCAAUGCUUUUGCCCUGCCAGGGCCAGUGGGAUGGCUUGCAGUGCAGGCUGGAAGCAUUCCCUGGGCUCCCAUGGCUUUUCCUUUGAGGGAGGAGCUGAGAGAUGCCUCAGCUUUGAAGCUGAGUUCUCUGCUGGCACUUGUCACUCCUUGAGUAUUCUGGGCUGGAGCUUGUGCUCUGGUGUAAGAAAAUAAAUCCGCCUCUGAGGAGGCUGGAAGAAAAGUCCCAGUAUCUGAUCAGAGGUUUUGCUGUUAAGGAUGGGAUCAGUUGCAGCUCUAGGAAUGCCUUAUUCCUCACACUUCUCCUGUGCUAAGGACAGCUGGGAUGGGUCACACUGUCCCUUGUGCAGCAUCUGAGCCCUCAAUGAGGUUUCCACUUGAUAUGUCCAAGUUUCUAACACCAAAAGCCUUGGGUGGAAACUUGCUUGUGUCUGGCUGGUUGGCAGCAGGCAAAACUCUUCAAGGAAGAACAGCUAAUUGCAUAUUCAUAAUGGCACAUACUUGAGAAAAGCCCUUAAUUUCUGCUGUGGUGGAUCUGGAAAUUCACCCCUGUCCAUGCUCAGCAACAUCCACCCUCAGCCUCUGAAGAAUGUGGAUCAAGCAGAGCUUUUUGGCCCUUCUCCUCUGAGAAAGAACCACUAAUUUCUUCAGUUGGAGCACAUUAUUUUUUUAACAAAAGAGCAUGAUACAGCUCUAUACACCAGUUGGAAGCAAUGUGAUUUGUGUCAUGAAUACUAAUAUGCAUUUGAUGGUAUCCUAUAAAUUCAACACGUUCAGAAGAGCGUUAACAAGAGUUGUAGGAACCAUACUUAAAUUCUUCCCCUACUUUUUUUGUCAAUUAAAGGAAAAGGAAGCUAGUGAGAGUCUGCAUUUGUAUCCAAAACAAAUAUGGCUUGGGUCACGACAAGACUUCUGCACGCCGUGCUAGACCUGGGUCUACAGCACAUGCAUUGAUUUUUGUCUCCAUGAAUCACCCUAAAGCUAUAGGCAACAAAAGCUGAAACUAUGUAGAUGUGAUUUCUAGUUCAUUUGUUG